rnacentral:lncRNA from 1 species
AGAACAAACUUAAUCGAGUUUCAUCUGUUUGGAUAUCAUAACCAAAACCUGUGAGAACAUAUCCACCAGAAAAUUUGAUGUUCUACAGGUACAGGAAGGUUAGAGGUGCAGGAUUAAGGGCAGAGAGCAAUGUAGAUUUAGAGCAGUAGCAUCAGUGUUUCAGAUAUGCAGAGUAUUCAAAAAAACACUCAAAGCAAGGAAGUUGAGUCUCUCUACAUCUUCCUUUGAGAACAGCCCACAAGAAUUAUUCUUUCAGUUAGGGAUUAUUCCUGUGAGUAAUUUCUAAUGUGUGUAAGAGUAAAGGAUUCUUCUGACGUGGCACAAUUCAGUUGGGGUUAUUGAGGAUCAACCCUAGGGAAACCUAUUAAAAAAAAAAGAUGCUAUUGUGAUCCCGUUGUUGUGUCCUAGCAUCUGGCUGCCUUUAAUUGACAGACAGAUGGGGUUGACCCUGGAGUGGUACUCACUACAUUAGGUCAUUCGUUGCUAUAGAACUAUGUAGUUGGUCUACUUCAG